CGAGUCUGACCGGGCGUAAGCU
rnacentral:miRNA from 1 species